rnacentral:tRNA from 1 species
GUGCCUGUUGCUCAGCUGGAUAGAGAAACGGCCUUCUAAGCCGUCGGUCGGGGGUUCGAAUCCCUUCAGGUACGCCA